rnacentral:rRNA from 1 species
GAUGAACGCUGACAGAAUGCUUAACACAUGCAAGUCUUUGGCGAAGCUGUGCUCGCACAGCCUAGCCAAGGCGGACGGGUGAGUAACGCGUAAGGAACUUGCCCUGCAGUCAGGGAUAACAGACGGAAACGACUGAUAAGACCUGGUAAAGUCAGGCGGACUCAUGUCCAGCCUGAUGAAAAGAGAUGCUGCAGGAGAGCCUUGCGUCCUAUUAGCUUGUUGGUGGGGUAACGGCCCACCAAGGCGAUGAUAGGUAGCCGGCCUGAGAGGGUGGACGGCCACAAGGGGACUGAGAUACGGCCCUGACUCCUACGGGAGGCAGCAGUGGGGAAUAUUGGACAAUGGGGGCAACCCUGAUCCAGCAAUUCUGCGUGCACGAUGAAGGUUUUCGGAUUGUAAAGUGCUUUCAGCAGGGAAGAAAAAAAUGACGGUACCUGCAGAAGAAGCGACGGCUAAAUACGUG